rnacentral:rRNA from 1 species
UAAGGAAUAUUGGUCAAUGGACGCAAGUCUGAACCAGCCAUGCCGCGUGAAGGAUGAAGGUCCUCUGGAUUGUAAACUUCUUUUAUCUGGGACGAAAACGGGAUUUUUAUCUCAACUGACGGUACCAGAGGAAUAAGCACCGGCUAACUCCGUACCAGCAGCCGCGGUAAUACGGAGGGUGCGAGCGUUAUCCGGAUUUACUGGGUUUAAAGGGUGCGUAGGUGGGCUUAUAAGUCAGUGGUGAAAUCUCCGAGCUUAACUUGGAAACUGCCGUUGAUACUAUAGGUCUUGAAUUAUCUGGAGGUAAGCGGAAUAUGUCAUGUAGCGGUGAAAUGCUUAGAUAUGACAUAGAACACCAAUUGCGAAGGCAGCUUACUACAUAUAAAUUGACGCUGAGGCACGAAAGCGUGGGGAUCAAACA